GCUUUCGUGGUGUAACGGUUAGUACACUCGGAGCGUAAUCGAGAGGUCCAGGUUCGAGUCCCGGCGAGGGCA
rnacentral:tRNA from 1 species